CCCUUAGAUGUCCUGGGCCGCACGCGCGUUACACUGAUGCAUUCAACGAGCUUAUAACCUUGGCCGAGAGGCCUGGGCAAUCUUGUUAACGUGCAUCGUGAUAGGGAUAGAUUAUUGAAAUUAUUAAUCUUGAACGAGGAAUUCCUAGUAAACGCAGAUCAUCAAUCUGCAUUGAUUACGUCCCUGCCCUUUGUACACACCGCCCGUCGCACCUACCGAUUGGAUGGUCCGGUGAAGCCUCGGGAUUGUGGUUCUUGCCGCUGUAUUGUGGCGUGACCGCGAGAACUUGUCUAAACCUUAUCAUCUAGAGGAAGGUGAAGUCGUAACA
rnacentral:rRNA from 1 species